GGGGGGGGGGGGGGGCGGGGUUGGGAGGGGGGGGGCGAGGGGGAGGGGGGUGCGGGGGGGGGGUGCGAGGGUGGGGAGGGGGGGAGGGAGGGGUGAGUAAGGUGGGCUAGAGUUGGGGAUAGGGGCAGGAAACGGGGGGUAAGAGCGGAGAGGAGGGCGAGCUGCAUGUGGGGGGGUGGGAAGGUUCGGCGGUUGGGGAUGGACUCGCGGCUGGUCAGCGUGGUGGUGGGGUAGUGGCUUACCAAGGCUGUGAGGGGUAGCCGGCCUGAGAGGGUGACCGGCCACCUUGGGACUGAGAUACGGCCCAGACUCCUACGGGAGGCAGCAGUGGGGAAUCUUGCACAAUGGGCGGAAGCCCGAUGCAGCAACGCCGCGUGCGGGAUGACGGCCUUCGUGUUGUAAACCGCUUUCGCCUGUGACGAAGCGUGAGUGACGGUAAUGGGUAAAGAAGCACCGGCUAACUACGUG
rnacentral:rRNA from 1 species